ACUUCCUAAGCCGGAACGAAAAAUCUCUUUGUAGCAAUGCAUUGAUAUUUUUGGCUUUGUGGUUGUGAUGUUGUGUUUGCAAGUUGUCUGGGAAACCAGACUUUGUAGCUUAUGCUACUGUUUUUUUUCACUUCCUGUACAUUUACCCUGUCUGUCCAUAGUGAUUUUUUUAAUGCACCGCAAUUGCGGUGCUUUUUUUC
rnacentral:other from 1 species